rnacentral:tRNA from 1 species
GUCUGCGUAGCUUAAACCAAAGCAUAGCACUGAAGAUGCUAAGACGGCUGCUACUGCACCCGCGGACA